UGGGGAAUUUUGGACAAUGGGCGCAAGCCUGAUCCAGCAAUGCCGCGUGAGUGAAGAAGGCCUUCGGGUUGUAAAGCUCUUUUGUCAGGGAAGAAACGGUUCUGGAUAAUACCUGGAGCUAAUGACGGUACCUGAAGAAUAAGCACCGGCUAACUACGUGCCAGCAGCCGCGGUAAUACGUAGGGUGCGAGCGUUAAUCGGAAUUACUGGGCGUAAAGCGUGCGCAGGCGGUUUUGUAAGUCUGACGUGAAAUCCCCGGGCUUAACCUGGGAAUUGCGUUGGAGACUGCAAGGCUGGAGUCUGGCAGAGGGGGGUAGAAUUCCACGUGUAGCAGUGAAAUGCGUAGAGAUGUGGAGGAACACCGAUGGCGAAGGCAGCCCCCUGGGUCAAGACUGACGCUCAUGCACGAAAGCGUGGGGAGCAAACA
rnacentral:rRNA from 1 species